GAAAACACUGAGAUAACCAACUAUGAUAAACUGCAGUUGGAAUUUAACGACCCAGUGGAUGGGAAACAAAGGGAAGAAAUGAGACUUGAAAAAACAAACAAACAGGGAGAUCAAGUGAAGGGUGGGCAGACCUCUAUUUGACUGAUGCUUGCUCCCUUUGAAGGUAUGUAGGAAAUUUUGUAGUACUGAGACCUGUGCCUCUGAGAAUCCCUUGAAACCUGACAGACUCAAGGAAACUAAGAAAUAAAAUUACAGGUACUAUUUUUUAAUUCUUAAAAAAAAAGGACAUACGUAGAAGAGAUUAAGAAACAAAAUCCAUGUUUUUGAUGUAUACAGAUAAAGAAGCAAGAAGGGAUAAUGCCAGGAUGCAAAAACACUAUGGGUUUCUGAUAUUUAUGGAUAUUACAUGUGAACAACAUUAUUCCUUUUUGAUGUAAAAGGACUCCUGAGAAAGGAUCCUACCUGGGUUGAACUUGUUCAGUCCCUGUGAAUACUAACCCACUCUUCAGAGCUCAACUGUGUACCAGUUUUGUUGUAUUUGGAAGACACUGUUUCCUUUGUGCCACCCAUUCCCUAUAGGUCUACAGUCCUUCUGCCUCCUCUUCUGUAUAGUUCCUGGAGCACUGACCAAAGGAAUUUGAUAAAAGAUGAAUAUUCCAAA
rnacentral:lncRNA from 1 species